rnacentral:rRNA from 1 species
UGAUGACGAGACGCUAAGGCGUUGAAGCAGUGUAUGUCAGACUUCCAAGAAAAGCUCGCAAUGUCACAAAUAAGAAAUGCCUGUACCAUAACCGACACAGGUGGGUAGGUAGAGUAUACUAAGGGGCGCGAGAUAACUCUCUCUAAGGAACUCGGCAAAAUGACUCCGUAACUUCGGGAGAAGGAGUGCCUUGUUUAUAAGGUUGCAAUAACAAGAUCCAAGCAACUGUUUAUCAAAAACACAGGUCUCCGCUAAGUCGUAAGACGAUGUAUGGGGGCUGACGCCUGCCCAGUGCCGGAAGGUUAAAGAAGUUGGUUAGUGUAUGCGAAGCUGAUGACUGAAGCCCUGGUGAACGGCGGCCGUAACCAUAACGGUCCUAAGGUAGCGAAAUUCCUUGUCGGGUAAGUUCCGACCCGCACGAAAGGCGUAAUGAUUUGGAUACUGUCUCGGAGAGAGGCUCGGUGAAAUAGACUUGUCUGUGAAGAUGCGGACUACCUGCACCAGGACAGAAAGACCCUAUGAAGCUUUACUGUAACUUGAAAUUGGAAUUGGACUUUGCUUGCGCAGUAUAGGUGGGAAGCGUUGAAAAUAUUCUUGCGGGAGUAUUGGAGCUAUCAGUGAGAUACCACUCUUGUAAUGUUAGAUUUCUAACUUUGAACCAUAAUCUGGUCAAAGAACAGUUUCAGGUGGGCAGUUUGACUGGGGCGGUCGCCUCCCAAAUGGUAACGGAGGCGUACAAAGGUUUCCUCUGAACGGAUAGAAAUCGUAUCUAGAGUGUAAAGGCAUAAGGAAGCUUGACUGUGAGACCUACAAGUCGAGCAGGGACGAAAGUCGGUCUUAGUGAUCUGACGGUACUGAGUGGAAAGGCCGUCACUCAACGGAUAAAAGUUACUCUAGGAUAACAGGCUGAUCUCCCCCAAGAGUUCACAUCGACGGGGAGGUUUGGCACCUCGAUGUCGGCUCAUCGCAUCCUGGGGCGGUAGUACGUCCCAAGGGUUGGGCUGUUCGCCCAUGAAAGCGGUACGCGAGCUGGGUUCAGAACGUCGUGAGACAGUUCGGUCCAUAUCCGGUGUAGGCGCUAGAAUAUUGAGAGGAGCCUUCUUUAGUACGAGAGGACCGAGAAGGACACACCGCUGGUGUACCAGUUAUCGUGCCAACGGUAAACGCUGGGUAGCUAUGUGUGGAGUGGAUAACCGCUGAAAGCAUCUAAGUGGGAAGCCCACCUCGAGAUGAGUAUUCUCAUCACUAUAAGUGAGUAAGGUCACGGUAAGACUAACCGUUUGAUAGGCAUUAAGUGUAAAUGUAGUAAUGCAUGUGCUGAGAUGUCCUAACAGACCGAGGAC